rnacentral:rRNA from 1 species
GAUGAACGCUGGCGGCGUGCUUAACACAUGCAAGUCGAACGGAGAAAGGGUAGCUUGCUAUCUUUCUUAGUGGCGGACGGGUGAGUAACGCGUGGGUAACCUGCCCUUUGCAGGGGGAUAACAGUGAGAAAUCACUGCUAAUACCGCAUACCAACUUCUUUCGCAUGAAGGAAGUUUGAAAGAUUUAUCGGCAAAGGAUGGACCCGCGUUGGAUUAGCUAGUUGGUGAGAUAACAGCCCACCAAGGCAACGAUCCAUAGCCGGCCUGAGAGGGUGAACGGCCACACUGGGACUGAGACACGGCCCAGACUCCUACGGGAGGCAGCAGUGGGGAAUAUUGCACAAUGGGCGAAAGCCUGAUGCAGCGACGCCGCGUGAAGGAUGAAGGUCUUCGGAUUGUAAACUUCUAUCAGCAGGGAAGAAAGGGCUUAUAGCCUAUGACGGUACCUGACUAAGAAGCCCCGGCUAACUACGUG